rnacentral:rRNA from 1 species
UGCGUCCAUUGCGGUUGUAUGGAGAAGGCGUUCGGGUUGUAAAGCACUGUCAGCGGGGAGGAAGGGGCACUAGUGAAUACCUAGUGGCAUUGACGGUACUCGCAGAAGAAGCACCUGCUAACUCCGUGCCAGCAGCCGCAGUAAUACGGAGGGUGCAAGCGUUAAUCGGAAUUACUGGGCGUAAAGCGCACGCAUGCGGUUUGUUAAGUCAGAUGUGAAAUCCCCGAGCUCAACUUGGGAACUGCAUUUGAAACUGGCAAGCUAGAGUCUUGUAGAGGGGGGUAGAAUUCCAGGUGUAGCGGUGAAAUGCGUCGAGAUCUGGAGGAAUACCGGUGGCGAAGGCGGCCCCCUGGACAAAGACUGACGCUCACGUGCGAAAGCGUGGGGAGCAAACAGGAUUAGAUACCCUGGUCGUCCAAGCUGCAAACGAUGUCGAUUUGGCGGUUGUGCC